GCGCCGUAAGCAUUGAAGCGUGAUGCUCUGGCCUUUUAAGCCUGAGAGCAGGGUUCGAGUCCCUGGCGGCGCACCA
rnacentral:tRNA from 3 species